rnacentral:rRNA from 1 species
GACGAACGCUGGCGGCGUGCUUAACACAUGCAAGUCGAACGAUGAUGCCCAGCUUGCUGGGUGGAUUAGUGGCGAACGGGUGAGUAACACGUGAGUAACCUGCCCCUGACUCUGGGAUAAGCGUUGGAAACGACGUCUAAUACUGGAUAUGACUGCCGGCCGCAUGGUCUGGUGGUGGAAAGAUUUUUUGGUUGGGGAUGGACUCGCGGCCUAUCAGCUUGUUGGUGAGGUAAUGGCUCACCAAGGCGACGACGGGUAGCCGGCCUGAGAGGGUGACCGGCCACACUGGGACUGGGACACGGCCCAGACUCCUACGGGAGGCAGCAGUGGGGAAUAUUGCACAAUGGGCGAAAGCCUGAUGCAGCAACGCCGCGUGAGGGAUGACGGCCUUCGGGUUGUAAACCUCUUUUAGUAGGGAAGAAGCGAAAGUGACGGUACCUGCAGAAAAAGCACCGGCUAACUACGUGCCAGCAGCCGCCGCCG